AGACAAUGGGGGCAACCCUGAUCUAGCCAUGCCGCGUGUGUGAUGAAGGCCUUAGGGUCGUAAAGCACUUUCGCCAGAGAUGAUAAUGACAGUAUCUGGUAAAGAAACCCCGGCUAACUCCGUGCCAGCAGCCGCGGUAAUACGGAGGGGGUUAGCGUUGUUCGGAAUUACUGGGCGUAAAGCGCACGUAGGCGGAUUAGUAAGUUAGAGGUGAAAUCCCAGGGCUCAACCCUGGAACUGCCUUUAAUACUGCUAGUCUUGAGUUCGAGAGAGGUAAGUGGAAUUCCGAGUGUAGAGGUGAAAUUCGUAGAUAUUCGGAGGAACACCAGUGGCGAAGGCGGCUUACUGGCUCGAUACUGACGCUGAGGUGCGAAAGUGUGGGGAGCAAACAGGAUUAGAUACCCUGGUAGUCCACACCGUAAACGAUGAAUGCCAGACGUCAGCAAGUAUACUUGUUGGUGUCACACCUAACGGAUUAAGCAUUC
rnacentral:rRNA from 1 species